ACUUUCAUCGUCACUUUGUAACCAGAUAGAGAACACGGAAUAAAUUUAUCAAAGUGAAAUGGUUUCAGGUUAUAGUUUCAAUUUAAAUAGCAUUUUAAGUAAGUAACCGAAAAAAAGAAAGAAAUACUUUUGAAACAGGAAACAUAAAUUCGCGUAUGCACUUAAGGCAGGAACGUAGAUUCGUAAUUUUGAUUGCAUCAAGAAAAUUAUACGAUUUUUAUUUCGGUUGAUCGAGAAUCUCUGAUGCAACGUGAAAGUAUGGGCGAAACCGAGCAUCCAUAUUCCUUUAUUGGCCACGUCGAACGGUACUAAACAAUAAUAAUUCUCAAUCUCGAAGUGUACGAAUGUUUUAUAAUGAACUUUAUAUAACAAUAUUCGAAAGAAUAUAGGCAAGGAAAGAAACGAAGAUUAUUUUAAACGAAUUGAUAUCGAUCGAGAAGGGGGCACGGCAAUCAGAAAAUCCAUCAAAAAUCAAUCAAGGAAAUCGAAAAGGCCGAAAAUGGUGAAGGGAUCGCGUGCCAUGCGUCAUAAAAGCUGAAAAACAAGGAAAUGGUGCAUGAAUUUAAAAAAAAAAAAAAAUAGAAAGGUAAGCCGAUUGUGCACGGUUUCACGGAGAGAGAUCGUCGAUAAAUACGGAGCAGCAGUUUUGCAGCUUUCAAAAUAGGAUCCGAUGAAUCUUUUUCAUUCGAGCAUCAA